AGGAGGGAAGGAAGAUGGAGCGGGGCUCCGGCCGGGCCCGUGCAGAGGAGGAUCCGUCGGAUGGAGCGUGUACUGGAUCGCGUCACCAGAGCGUGUCACCAGCUGCACCUUGGCUGCUGCUCYGUGCCAAAGUGGACAUUUCUGUGGGACUUCCAAGUUGCUUUUAUUUGUGCAGUCACCACCCAGCGGUGGCCUGGUGUAUCAUUCCAUGGGAGUUUAGUUGACUGAACUGUAUAUAACGUUGAAGGGAACAUACUGAUAGCUGCAAUGCAGAUGUGGUAGAGCUUAAUAGGAAGUAUAUCAACUCCGAGUUGCCAAAUUAAGAAAAGACRCAUGGAAGUUCCUUGGUAGCUGGCUUAAAUAGAAAAAAAUAUGAAAGGGCCUAAUUCCUUUAUUGAAAUAUGGUUCCUUUUUGAUUGCCCUUGUGCAUGUUAAUCCCAGCUGUGAUUAUAACCCUGGCUGCUGUACAUACAACACUCCACACAGUGUGCACAGAGUGCUUUUCUCCUAACAAUAAUCAAGGCAUCAUUUGCUUAAGACAACAAGGAACUGAAAUGAAGCUAAUAGAGUUUAAAAAAGGAAGUUAUUGUAGCUAUAUACCUAGUUUGUUGCAACUGUGGAAGACAAAGGACUGCUCGAAUGAGUUACUUGUUAAUUGUUUGUCUUAUUGCUGCUUGUUCUUCAAGUACUUUCCAAGUUAGCCAACACGAAUAACUGCAUUCUACAAUGCCUCGUCCAAAGCCUGUCUGUGCAAGCUGCAAGUUCCAUUUACUCUACUAAACUAAUACAGAAAAAAAUAAUUUCUCUAAGUGAGAAAUACUUUCCUUGAUGGCUGCCCUUUUCAUUCACGUGACAUUAACAAAUAUUUUUGAACCAGAACUUCUAAGUAUAACAAAGCAUACCAGUGAAAGAGAUGGGAAGAACUAUGAGCAAAUAUUAAAAAUUGCACUGCAUUGUUUUUUUUUCAAGCCAUGUUGUACAUAAAUAAUAACAGUAUUCAUCGUUAUAAACCUAAAGGUGUAUUUGAGGGAUUUUUUAAAGGUAAACACCUAUUUAAAAAUCUAGAGGUCUUAAUUGCACCYAACAAUGUUGUUCUAGGAAGUGAAUCUAUUUAGUGCUCGUAAGCAUAUAUUUAGUAUGGAGCAAAGUUUAAAUAGUGAGUUGCUUGGAUUGGUUAAGAAGCUAUAUUUUGUGGGCAUGUUGGAAUCUUUUUCUUGGUAAAAAUGCGUGUGUGAAAAUUAUGCACCUUGCCAAUUUAUAAAGAUACUAACUCUAAAUUCUGAGUUUAAGGUAAUACCAAUCACUUACCCAAAUAGCUCUCUUCUUACUGGGAGAGGAUCAAGUCUUCCAGAUGACCCUCCAGCCAGCACUGCUUAUUCUAAUGACCUCUCACUGCUGAACAAGAGAUGCAGCCUGCCAUCUCACAGCUGGAUCUUCAAGCUUCUUAAAUAAGUAAAAAAAAAAAAAAAAAAAAAAAAAAAAAAAUUACACACACCAAUUUUCAAGACCAAACGCUAGUUGUUAAUGGUGGAUUCAUAUUGCCUCUCACUCAGGUGCAGUAAGCAACACCCAUUCAAAUUUGGAGCACUGAUAAUUAGAGAUAAUUUGAAGGAGAACCUAUUCUUUCUGAAAUGUAGGAGAUAUGAUUUGUCUUUAUCMUAGUGUGACUUUAGCAUCAAAAUCCUGCAAUAUGGAGCCAGUCCAAGGAAUAUCUCUGAGAUCAUGAACAUUUCCCCAUCUUGGCACCAGGCACUAUAUUAACACCAAAUACAUUUAAAAAAAA